UACGUAGGGUGCGAGCGUUAAUCGGAAUUACUGGGCGUAAAGUGUGCGCAGGUGGCUUCGCAAGUCGAGUGUGAAAUCCCCGGGCUUAACCUGGGAAUUGCGCUCGAAACUACGGAGCUGGAGUAUGGCAGAGGGAGGUGGAAUUCCACGUGUAGUGGUGAAAUGCGUAGAGAUCGGGGGGAACACCCGUGGCGAAGGCGGCCGGCUGGGCCGUUCCUGACGCUGAGGCGCGAAGGCGUGGGGAGCGAACGGG
rnacentral:rRNA from 1 species